GAAUCCAAUCUCAUGUUGAUUCACAAGCUACUGCCUACUCCCAUUGGGAUGAACCUUACUUUGGUAAAGCAACCAUUACUUCAUCAAGAUCUAAUAGAGAUCCUAGGAAAAAUCAAGGAGAAUGGACAGAAAACUCUGUCCUGAAGACUCCACGACGACACCAUGGAACCCUGCUGAUGAAGAUCUUUCGAGGGCAAUCGUCAGUCACGGGGUGGUGUAAGAGCCCGUCUGAAGCCCCUCAUUUUCCAUUCUGCCUUCCGAUUGCCACGAGAAAGAAUCCCUUCCUCCACUGCAGUUCCGGCUUAGAACAGGACACAGUGCAGGUGCAACCACUGAACCGUCAUGCUAGCUGUUCCGAACAAGGCCUGGCAAGAACUUGGCAAGGACUUGGCAAAGACCUGACGUGGACCCAGCACGGGACAGCCUGAUGCGCGGCCUGCUUCUAAUCUCCGUUCUUAAGCCAAAUGAACUUUUGGGGUGACUCCCGGGGUCCUUCAUUGAAGACCCCUCAUCUGCCUCGUUACCACUGUGACAAACAAAGAAUGAGAACCCUCCUCCCAAGGACUGAGACUGAGACCCCUGCUAUAGGGAGGAGGGGAAAUUGGUGGUCUGACCACUAAUGACAUGACCUGUUUCCCUUCAGUGAUUCAAAUGGACUCAUUCUUCAUUGGAUUCGUCUUGCUUUGGUGGUUUCUGUGGACUCAGCUGUUCCCGCGUGGCGAUUACAAUGGACUUUCGUUGUUACACUUGCUCCCCCCUCUUUCCUCUGUGGACUAUAACUGGAGCCCCGAGUCGACCAGAACUUCGGAGACUCCCCCGACACGACAGACGGAUCCCCAUCGUCCGGACCACUGAGGAUCUCGCCUGUGUUGGUAGCUAUUCCCAUACCCCUCUUCUCUCUCUCUCUCUCCUUUUAUCUCCUUUCCGAUCCCCACUAUCGCAUUUACUGGUUUGGCCCCUAAUAAAGGUGCAUUUGUUGUGAUUAA